UCUUAUGGAUGAGCAGAGAAAGUGGUUUCUUGAGAUGGAGCCUGCUCCUAGUGAAGAUGCCGUGAA
rnacentral:pre_miRNA from 1 species